GAUGAAGAACGCAGCGAAAUGCGAUAUGUAAUGUGAAUUGCAGAAUUCAGUGAAUCAUCGAAUCUUUGAACGCACAUUGCGCCCCUUGGUAUUCCGGGGGGCAUGCCUGUUCGAGCGUCAUUAUAACCCCUCAAGCUCAGCUUGGUGUUGGGGCCUGCCAACUGGCAGCCCUUAAAAUCAGUGGCGGCGCCAUCUGGCUCUAAGCGUAGUAAUUUCUCUCGCUAUAGGGUCCCGGUGGAUGCUUGCCAACAACCCCCAAUUUUCUAUGGUUGACCUCGGAUCAGGUAGGGAUACCCGCUGAACUUAAGCAUAUCAAUAAGCGGAGGA
rnacentral:misc_RNA from 1 species